rnacentral:rRNA from 1 species
CCUACGGGAGGCAGCAGUGGGGGAUAUUGCACAAUGGGGGAAACCCUGAUGCAGCGACGCCGCGUGUGGGAAGACGGUCCUCUGGAUUGUAAACCACUGUCCCCAGGGACGAAGAUGACGGUACCUGGGGAGGAAGCUCCGGCAAACUACGUGCCAGCAGCCGCGGUAAUACGUAGGGAGCGAGCGUUGUCCGGAAUUACGGGGUGAAAAGGGAGCGUAGGCGGGACUGCAAGUUGGGUGUCAAAUCUACCGGCUCAACCGGUAGCCGCACUCAAAACUGCAGUUCUUGAGUGAAGUAGAGGCAGGCGGAAUUCCUAGUGUAGCGGUGAAAUGCGUAGAUAUUAGGAGGAACACCAGUGGCGAAGGCGGCCUGCUGGGCUUUUACUGACGCUGAGGCUCGAAAGUGUGGGGAGCAAACAGGAUUAGAUACCCCAGUAGUC